GGGGAAAGAAGAAAGGAGGGACACCAGGGAAGGAAAAUUAGAGAAUGAGAAGAGGAAGAGGAGGAGAAAUGUGUUUUGAUAAAGGCUGCAGAGGAGGAAAAGUGGGUAGAAGACAAGGAGGAGGAGGGAGGAGAGUACAGAAACAGGAGCCAGAACCAAUUUCAGAUUUUAAACCAUCAGCAUUCAGGCUGCUCUUCACUCCUCAUUUAUUAUAUCGAAAUUUGCAGGACUUUCCAGUGGCCUGAAUACGUUGUGGUGCUUCGUGUCCUGUCAGAAGACAGAUUACUCUUGUCAGGACCACCAGCCGAGUGUGAAUAUCAGACUUAAGGAACAUCUGUGCCGAGUAUAAUCUGGAAGUCCCGAGGUCAAAAUGGGAGAUGCCCCCAAGGGUGGUGGAGAAUGACCAAGCUAAGAUCCUGUGGGACUUCCAGAUACAGACGGACAAAAUGGUGGUGGCUAACCAACCGGACAUAGUGGUGGUAGACAAACAGAAGAAGACGGCCGUAGUGAUCGAUGUAGCAGUUCCGAAUGACAGCAAUAUCAGGAAGAAGGAACAUGAGAAGCUGGAGAAAUACCAAGGGCUCAGAGAAGAGCUCGAGAGGAUGCGGAGGGUGAAG
ensembl:lncRNA